rnacentral:rRNA from 1 species
UACGUAGGGGGCAAGCGUUGUCCGGAAUCAUUGGGCGUAAAGCGCGUGUAGGCGGCUGAGUAAGUCUGCUCUGAAAGCCCGGGGCUCAACCCCGGGAGGCGGGUGGAUACUGCUCAGCUCGAGUCCGGAAGAGGAGUGUGGAAUUCCUGGUGUAGCGGUGAAAUGCGCAGAUAUCAGGAGGAACACCAAUAGCGAAGGCAGCUCGCUGGGACGGUACUGACGCUAAGGCGCGAAAGCGUGGGGAGCGAACAGG